CGAGGGGUAUGGUUCUUCGGAACAGAGACCGGCGCACGGGUGCGUAACGCGUAUGCAAUCUACCUUUUACAGAGGGAUAGCCCAGAGAAAUUUGGAUUAAUACCUCAUAGCAUAGCAGCUUCGCAUGAAGUCACUAUUAAAGUCACAACGGUAAAAGAUGAGCAUGCGUCCCAUUAGCUAGUUGGUAAGGUAACGGCUUACCAAGGCUACGAUGGGUAGGGGUCCUGAGAGGGAGAUCCCCCACACUGGUACUGAGACACGGACCAGACUCCUACGGGAGGCAGCAGUGAGGAAUAUUGGACAAUGGGCGCAAGCCUGAUCCAGCCAUGCCGCGUGCAGGAUGACGGUCCUAUGGAUUGUAAACUGCUUUUAUACGAGAAGAAACACUCCAACGUGUUGGAGCUUGACGGUAUCGUAAGAAUAAGGAUCGGCUAACUCCGUGCCAGCAGCCGCGGUAAUACGGAGGAUCCAAGCGUUAUCCGGAAUCAUUGGGUUUAAAGGGUCCGUANGCGGUUUAGUAAGUCAGUGGUGAAAGCCCAUCGCUCAACGGUGGAACGGCCAUUGAUACU
rnacentral:rRNA from 1 species